UACGUAGGGGGCAAGCGUUGUCCGGAUUUACUGGGCGUAAAGAGCGUGUAGGCGGCCACGCAGGUCCGUUGUGAAAACUGGAGGCUCAACCUCCAGCUGUCGACGGAAACCGUGUGGCUAGAGUCCGGAAGAGGAGAGUGGAAUUCCUGGUGUAGCGGUGAAAUGCGCAGAUAUCAGGAAGAACACCAAUGGCGAAGGCAGCUCUCUGGACAGUUCCUGACGCUGAGGCACGAAGGUCAGGGGAGCAAACGGG
rnacentral:rRNA from 1 species